AAGAAAUGUCAGCGAAAUUUGUACGACAUAAGUUUAUCCAAACACUAUGGCAACGGCAAGAUGUAUUAAGCGAGGUAUCAACGAUGUAACUGGACGUCUGGCAAUUAUCGGAUCGUAAUUAAGUUCACCGCGUUGUGGAAAACUGACUCGAAUCCGAAGUGUGGUUACAUGUGUGAUAUAAGGCAAGAUGGCGUCGCAAUUGGCGAUCAGCUGAUUGUUGUCGCUGGAAUCGGCAAAAGAUGCGUUGCGAGGAAGACUAUAUUGUCGAGGAAACUAUUAGCAUCAUCGAUGCUAUCUGUAUAAACGUUCCCAUCGUAAACUGGCAUUAUAUACACACUGACUCAUCCAUUCUCCUCCGAGAUCUCGCAGUAUCUGUUAUCAACACGAAAUACUAUACAGUCACCGAACAAGUGUAGUAGCCUCACUUCGACAUAGUUUGGAGAACACUUACCACGUCACAGAUGGUUGGCAGGAUCGUGUGAAUCUGUAUUUACGGAUACAGAAGGAUUCAGGUAUAUGAACAUCUUUGAAGUUACUUUUCAAGUGGGAAAGCUUGCCGUCUAGUGGACGAAAUUCGUACGAUGUACUUGAAACGAAUCAUCAUUUCGGUUGAAAAGAACGAACGUGCGGAUCAAAGAAUCAGAAGACUGUCGAAUCAACCGAUAUUUUAAUUCGGUGAAAUAAUAUUCAUUUCGUACAACCAAUGAUUCGUAUAUUGUGAGCGCAUCCAGAGAUAUUGAAAUGAAUUAAAAGUGUGUAUUUGCAAUUUUAAACUACACGUGAUUGUUUAAAAGUAAGAAAAAUUAUGUUUCACUGUAUUAGUUAAUUACUUGAAUCG